rnacentral:rRNA from 1 species
UUGACCUCGGAUCAGGUAGGGUUACCCGCUGAACUUAAGCAUAUCAAUAAGCGGAGGAAAAGAAACCAACAGGGAUUGCCUCAGUAACGGCGAGUGAAGCGGCAACAGCUCAAAUUUGAAAUCUGGUCCCCUUUGGGGGCCCGAGUUGUAAUUUGAAGAGGAUGCUUUUGGCGAGGCGCCGUCCGAGUUCCCUGGAACGGGACGCCGCAGAGGGUGAGAGCCCCGUACGGUCGGACGCCGAGCCUCUGUAAAGCUCCUUCGACGAGUCGAGUAGUUUGGGAAUGCUGCUCAAAAUGGGAGGUAAACCCCUUCUAAAGCUAAAUACCGGCCAGAGACCGAUAGCGCACAAGUAGAGUGAUCGAAAGAUGAAAAGCACUUUGAAAAGAGAGUUAAAAAGCACGUGAAAUUGUUAAAAGGGAAGCGCUUGCGACCAGACUUGCGCCCGUCGGAUCAACCGUCGCUUGCGGCGGCGCACUCCGGCGGGCUCAGGCCAGCAUCAGUUCGCUCGGGGGGAGAAAGGCGGCGGGAAUGUAGCUCCUCGGAGUGUUAUAGCCCGCCGUGUAAUACCCUCGGGUGGACUGAGGACCGCGCGUAUGCAAGGAUG